rnacentral:rRNA from 1 species
UACGAAGGGGGCAAGCGUUGUUCGGAAUUACUGGGCGUAAAGGGCGCGUAGGCGGCCUUCUAAGUCAGACGUGAAAUCCCCCGGCUUAACCUGGGAACUGCGUCUGAUACUGGAAGGCUUGAGUGCGGGAGAGGGAUGUGGAAUUCCAGGUGUAGCGGUGAAAUGCGUAGAUAUCUGGAGGAACACCGGUGGCGAAGGCGGCAUCCUGGACCGACACUGACGCUGAGGCGCGAAAGCGAGGGUAGCAAACGGG